ACUACGGUUAACCUACGAAAAAUAGCGAGAAGCUCGCGCCCAAAUCCUCGUGCCCUCGACGCGGCCUCGAAGACCUCCGCCGCCAUUGCGGAACCCCUCCAUCUCUCAGACCACAUCGCCGCCGCCGCCGACCUCUCCCAGUCCCGCUCGGACCACGCCGCCGGCCUCCCCUCCCCUCCCCUCCCCUCAUCAGAAAGAAGAAGAGACAGAGAUGCUCUUCCUCAGACGGCGGCGGCGGCCAGAUCGAGCAGGACAGGGCACCACACGGCGCUCCCCGAUCCGCCACGGUCGCAAGAGGAAUCGCGCCGGACGGGAGAGGACCGUCUGCUACGACUGCUUCGUGCGUCGUUGUUGGAGAUGCUCGCGCGCCGGGAGCUUCCUCCGCUCUCCCACUGCCCCGACCGUAGGUACUCGAUCUCUCGCCCUCCCUUCCGUUCUCCUCUUUGAUCUUCUCUUCUAUUCUCCCCACCCUGAUGCGCCAUCCCUUUUCCCUUCCAUACGCACACGCAAACGCAGCAGCAGCGCACACCGCCAUUGGUUGUGGCUAGCUGUACCUCGGAGCUCCUUCCUUCCUGCUUCCCCUGAUUGCGUCUUCGGGGACUAGAUGAAUGUUAUCAAGCUGAAGAAGAUGGCCGGUGCCCUGCGCUGGAGGCAAGGGCAGCGUGCACAUGUGCUUUCUAUGUUAACCUUGUUACUAUCAUCCAUAGUUAGUGUCAUUGGUUUUGCUACAAGCAGUAGCGUUUCCCGCUUUCAGCACGUUAUCUAUUCUACAGGAAGAAGAAGGCAGUGCACAAGACCACGACCACCGAGGACAAGAGACUUCAAAGCACUUUGAAAAGAGUAGGAGUCAGCACCAUUCCUGGUAUUGAAGAGGCCAACAUUUAAAAGGAUGACAUAGUUAUCCUAUUUCAGAACCCGAAAGUGCAAGCUUCACGUUGCGCGCUGGCCUUCCAAACGACUACUUCUCUGUCGGUUGGCGUGAAGACAGGGGUCGUGCCAGUGUGGUACAAGUCCUCCAGUUCACCCGGCGGCACACCAACCCGCGUGGCGCGGCACGGAGUGCCCUCAUGGCAUAAUUUAGGAUGCACGCCGACCAUGGGAUAUAAGAAGAAACGAGUGGAUUUGACUGUCAGCAGGGUUGGGACCUCAAGCUCGUAGGCAUAAAAGAUUUUUUGCAGUAUAGCACACAAUUGAUUCACCCAUGAUAAUAAAGCUUAGAAAAGAGAGCACAACCCAGUAGCUGGUUGUGCAGCAGAUGAUAUGACUUCAGUUCUUCUUCACACAAACAUCUUGGUCCUUAUUUUUUCUUCAUACGGCCAACCAUUGGCCAGGUUCUACUAUUCUGAAGUAACUGAAUUUGUCUUAUUUUAUUUCAUUAGUACUGUUGGGCUGCUGGCAGUUAUUGUUCAGAAGCCUGAUUGUA